UCUCUCUCUCUCAUGUGCAAAUAGCCCCCUCCCCCCACUGUUCAUCCGAGCGGUUUUCUCACCACCGCCGCUACCUCCGGCCACCAAACUCAACAAGGUUGGUACCAAAAGAACCAGCACGAUGUUGCCUUCCCAUCCUGACCAUACGCCUCCCCAGCCAUUGCCGUAUCUCGCCAGAAUUUGCGAAAAAUCGAUCGGUUUUACCCAUAACUUCAAGGAGCUCGUUCGGUUGAUUCCAGCCACCAAUUUCUUCAAACUUUGUACUCCGGUUAUUCGCACGCAGCAGACGGGACCCUCUCAGGGUCAAGCAACGUGGGACUAGUUUAGUUGACUGAGCUGAGCAACAAAGCCGAGUCCUGAGCUUCCGAACCUCGAGUUUCAGUAGUUUAAGCUUUGUUCGUUCCUCUCAUGUUAAACUUUAUUAUCUUUUGUAAACCAAAAUUAUUAGAUUGCUCUGUUAUCGCCCGUAUUAGGGUUUAAUUUGUGAGGCCGGAGGCCAUCUAUG